rnacentral:rRNA from 1 species
AUGCUGGCUGUUUUUGGUGGGAUUCAAGGGGCUCUCCCAUGUAAAUAUUUGGGAUUGCCUCUAGGUGUCAGGAAACCCAGGAGGGCCGAGGUGCAGCCGGUUCUGGACAAGAUGGCGGGAAAGCUAUCGCCUAGGAAGGGUAGAUUGCUAAACAGGAUGGGAAGACUGGUUUACAUCAACUCGGUGGUCACCAGCACGGCCAUUUACUUCUUAACAGCCUUCCAACCGGAUAAAUGGUUCAUUAGAAAGGUGGACAAACUCAGGAGAAAUUUCCUAUGGGAAAUUGAAGAAAGAGCGGCUGGAGGCAAGUGUCUUGUAAACUGGAAGCGGGCCUGCUCCCCCAAGAUUGUUGGUGGGUUAGGUAUCAAGAACAUCGAGUGUUUCAGCCGGGCCUUUCGCUUGAGAUGGGAAUGGCUCAGAUGGGAUGACGUCGAUCGGCCGUGGAAAGGAUCUCCUACUCCGUGCGACGCCAUUGAUAGACAGUUGUUCUCGAGCUGCUCCUCUAUUCAGUUGGGUGAUGGGCAGCUUGCGCUGUUCUGGAUGGAUAGAUGGAUGCAUGGGGAGGCCCCUUAUGUGAUUGCACCGGAGAUCUUCAAGCUGGCGCGUUUUAAAAGAAUUACUGUCAAAGAGGCUUUGACAAACGGCCGGUGGAUGCAAGGUCUACAAAGAAUGAACAACGAGGAGCAGCUAGCACAAUUUGUCAGAAUUUGGGAGGAGGUUCAGCAGGUGAGCCUUUCGGAGGCAAAGGAUGUGAUCAGGUGGUCACUCACGGCAAACGGCUCCUACUCUGCAUGCUCUGCCUAUGCCAUCCAGUUUGCGGCCGGGAUCGAGCAGCUGGAUCUUGAGAGAAUAUGGAGAUGCAAGAUGGAGGGGAAGGUCAAAUUCUACCUUUGGUUACUCCUGCAGAACAGAAAUUGGACGGCGGAUAAAUUAUUAGCGCGGAAUUGGCCACAUAAUGAUCGAUGCAAGUUGUGUGAUCAAGAGGCUGAAUCUGCAAUGCAUUUGACGCUGGGGUGUUCUUUUGCAAAGGAAAUAUGGUUCCACUUCCAGGGAUCUAACAGUAGGAUGUGGCGUAUUGCGUCUUCGGCUAGCUCGAUUACAGAUUGGUGGAGAAGACUAUGCUCCGGACGCGGUCCGAAGAACAAGGUACAGGAGGAUAUCACGUUGGCGGCCUACAUCGCCUGGCACCUGUGGAAGGAACGCAACAGGAGGAUCUUUCAGCAAAAGGAAUUAACUGUGUUCAUGUUGGCUGAUUUAAUCAGCGAUGAUGUAAAAUUAUACGUUGGGGCAACUGGUCAGGGUCAGGUUAUUGCAUAA